rnacentral:rRNA from 1 species
AGCGAACGUUAGCGGCGGGCCUAACACAUGCAAGUCGAGCGAGAAAGUGGCUUCGGCCAUCAGUAAAGCGGCGGACGGGUGAGUAACACGUAGGUAAUCUUCCCUUGAGCGGGGGACAACGAGCCGAAAGGCUCGCUAAUACCGCAUACGUUUCCAGAGGCCCCGGCCUUUGGAAGGAAAGCCAGGCAGGCAUGUCCGGCACUCGAGGAGGAGCCUGCGUCGCAUCAGCUAGUUGGUGGGGUAACGGCCUACCAAGGCGAAGACGCGUAGCUGGUCUGAGAGGAUGAUCAGCCACACUGGGACUGAGACACGGCCCAGACUCCUACGGGAGGCAGCAGUGGGGAAUAUUGGACAAUGGGCGCAAGCCUGAUCCAGCCACGCCGCGUGAGUGAUGAAGGCCUUCGGGUCGUAAAGCUCUGUGGGGAGGGACGAACCGCUGCAGGUUCAUAGCCUGCAGCAUGACGGUACCUCCUUAGCAAGCACCGGCUAACUUCGUGCCAGCCGCCGCCGUAACAC